UUUGUAUAAUGGGUCAGCGACUUAUAUUCUGUAGCAAGGUUAACCGAAUAGGGGAGCCGGAGGGAAACCGAGUCUUAAUUGGGCGUUAAGUUGCAGGGUAUAGACCCGAAACCCGGUGAUCUAGCCAUGGGCAGGUUGAAGGUUGGGUAACACUAACUGGAGGACCGAACCGACUAAUGUUGAAAAAUUAGCGGAUGACCUGUGGCUGGGGGUGAAAGGCCAAUCAAACCGGGAGAUAGCUGGUUCUCCCCGAAAGCUAUUUAGGUAGCGCCUCGUGAAUUCAUCUCCGGGGGUAGAGCACUGUUUCGGCUAGGGGGCCAUCCCGGCUUACCAACCCGAUGCAAACUGCGAAUACCGGAGAAUGUUAUCACGGGAGACACACGGCGGGUGCUAACGUCCGUCGUGAAGAGGGAAACAACCCAGACCGCCAGCUAAGGUCCCAAAGUCAUGGUUAAGUGGGAAACGAUGUGGGAAGGCCCAGACAGCCAGGAUGUUGGCUUAGAAGCAGCCAUCAUUUAAAGAAAGCGUAAUAGCUCACUGGUCGAGUCGGCCUGCGCGGAAGAUGUAACGGGGCUAAACCAUGCACCGAAGCUGCGGCAGCGACACUGUGUGUUGUUGGGUAGGGGAGCGUUCUGUAAGCCUGUGAAGGUGUGUCGUGAGGCAUGCUGGAGGUAUCAGAAGUGCGAAUGCUGACAUAAGUAACGAUAAAGCGGGUGAAAAGCCCGCUCGCCGGAAGACCAAGGGUUCCUGUCCAACGUUAAUCGGGGCAGGGUGAGUCGACCCCUAAGGCGAGGCCGAAAGGCGUAGUCGAUGGGAAACGGGUUAAUAUUCCCGUACUUGGUGUUACUGCGAAGGGGGGACGGAGAAGGCUAUGUUGGCCGGGCGACGGUUGUCCCGGUUUAAGCGUGUAGGUGUGUGUUCCAGGUAAAUCCGGUUCACUUUAACACUGAGGCGUGACGACGAGGCACUACGGUGCUGAAGCAACAAAUGCCCUGCUUCCAGGAAAAGCCUCUAAGCAUCAGGUAACAUCAAAUCGUACCCCAAACCGACACAGGUGGUCAGGUAGAGAAUACCAAGGCGCUUGAGAGAACUCGGGUGAAGGAACUAGGCAAAAUGGUGCCGUAACUUCGGGAGAAGGCACGCUGACACGUAGGUGAAGUGAUUUACUCAUGGAGCUGAAGUCAGUCGAAGAUACCAGCUGGCUGCAACUGUUUAUUAAAAACACAGCACUGUGCAAACACGAAAGUGGACGUAUACGGUGUGACGCCUGCCCGGUGCCGGAAGGUUAAUUGAUGGGGUCAGCGCAAGCGAAGCUCCUGAUCGAAGCCCCGGUAAACGGCGGCCGUAACUAUAACGGUCCUAAGGUAGCGAAAUUCCUUGUCGGGUAAGUUCCGACCUGCACGAAUGGCGUAAUGAUGGCCAGGCUGUCUCCACCCGAGACUCAGUGAAAUUGAACUCGCUGUGAAGAUGCAGUGUACCCGCGGCAAGACGGAAAGACCCCGUGAACCUUUACUAUAGCUUGACACUGAACAUUGAGCCUUGAUGUGUAGGAUAGGUGGGAGGCUUUGAAGUGUGGACGCCAGUCUGCAUGGAGCCGACCUUGAAAUACCACCCUUUAAUGUUUGAUGUUCUAACGUGGACCCGUUACCCGGGUUGCGGACAGUGUCUGGUGGGUAGUUUGACUGGGGCGGUCUCCUCCUAAAGAGUAACGGAGGAGCACGAAGGUUGGCUAAUCCUGGUCGGACAUCAGGAGGUUAGUGCAAUGGCAUAAGCCAGCUUGACUGCGAGCGUGACGGCGCGAGCAGGUGCGAAAGCAGGUCAUAGUGAUCCGGUGGUUCUGAAUGGAAGGGCCAUCGCUCAACGGAUAAAAGGUACUCCGGGGAUAACAGGCUGAUACCGCCCAAGAGUUCAUAUCGACGGCGGUGUUUGGCACCUCGAUGUCGGCUCAUCACAUCCUGGGGCUGAAGUAGGUCCCAAGGGUAUGGCUGUUCGCCAUUUAAAGUGGUACGCGAGCUGGGUUUAGAACGUCGUGAGACAGUUCGGUCCCUAUCUGCCGUGGGCGCUGGAGAACUGAGGGGGGCUGCUCCUAGUACGAGAGGACCGGAGUGGACGCAUCACUGGUGUUCGGGUUGUCAUGCCAAUGGCACUGCCCGGUAGCUAAAUGCGGAAGAGAUAAGUGCUGAAAGCAUCUAAGCACGAAACUUGCCCCGA
rnacentral:rRNA from 1 species